UACAUAGGGUGCAAGCGUUGUCCGGAAUUAUUGGGCGUAAAGAGCUCGUAGGCGGUUUGUCGCGUCUGCUGUGAAAUCCCGAGGCUCAACCUCGGGUCUGCAGUGGGUACGGGCAGACUAGAGUGUGGUAGGGGAGAUUGGAACUCCUGGUGUAGCGGUGGAAUGCGCAGAUAUCAGGAAGAACACCAAUGGCGAAGGCAGAUCUCUGGGCCAUUACUGACGCUGAGGAGCGAAAGCGUGGGGAGCGAACAGG
rnacentral:rRNA from 1 species